AUACGUAUGUAGCAAGCGUUAUCGGGAAUUAUUGGGCGUAAAGCGAGUCUAGGCGGCUUGUUAAGUCAGAUGUGAAAAUGCGGGGCUCAACUCCGUAUUGCGUUUGAAACUGGCAGGCUAGAGUACUGGAGAGGUGGGCGGAACUACAAGUGUAGAGGUGAAAUUCGUAGAUAUUUGUAGGAAUGCCGAUAGUGAAGACAGCUCACUGGACAGAUACUGACGCUAAAGCUCGAAAGCGUGGGGAGCGAACAGGAUUAGAAACCCCAGUAGUCC
rnacentral:rRNA from 1 species